AAUUGUCAUCCUUCCUUCUAUAUGCACAAUGCUGGUUUUGUUUUGUAUCUUAUUUUGCUGUUGGAGUACACUGGUGCUAUAAUGAUACUCACUUCUUUGGUAUAUUCAGCCUGUUUCAGAACAAUGCAUGCAUGAUCUUCCAGCAAACUUGCCAGAUCCCAUAGAUACUGCCAAGCCAGCCCGAGGGUCUACAGACUGGCUCGUUCUUCUCAUCGUGACCAGUUUUACUGAAGAUCCUACCUUGUGGCAAUCUCAUGGAUACUGCCGACCCAGCCUGGGGGUCUACAGCCUCUGACUGGCUCGUCUGUCUCAUCGUGGGCCACCUCACCUACCACCUCCAUCAGGGCUUGUUCUGUUAAUCCUCCUCCCAAGAGGAUUGGAGGGGAUUGGCAAGGAUUAAGAUGUAUUUUGACUUAUAAGAGGUUUAAAUCCCCCUCAAACCUCUUCAAUCCCCUCGGUUCUACACGCAACCGAACAAGGCCUCAGCGAAUGGGGAGGAAUGCGAGGACUACGGCAUGCACAUCAACAGAGGACACGACAGGGAAGAGGGACCUGUUGGUGCGGCGGGGCAACAGGAAGUGGCUAUCCAUCAAGGUGCAACAUCACGAUGUUCAGGGGGCUGCCAUAGAGCCACCGCUGAGAAGGCUGCAGCCAGCCUAUGAUGUAUUGCCGCGACCAAAGUGCAGCACCAAUUCUUUUACCGGUGCUGUGCUAUCUCAUUUGUCUGCAUUUUGUAUUAUGCAAAAAAGGAAGAACAAAAAGGAUAGAGUGGUAUACAUGUUUGGAAUUUGUUUCAAGCUUUCUUGGAUGAUUGUAAAUCAAAUCUGCUAGCUAGGCAUGUCCAAAGGAGUUGGCGACUUUGUGCUUUCUUUGAGCUUACUAAAUUAUAAUCAAAUUGAUGACG